rnacentral:rRNA from 1 species
AGAUGGGAGCUUGCUCCCUGAUGUUAGCGGCGGACGGGUGAGUAACACGUGGGUAACCUGCCUGUAAGACUGGGAUAACUCCGGGAAACCGGGGCUAAUACCGGAUGCUUGUUUGAACCGCAUGGUUCAAACAUAAAAGGUGGCUUCGGCUACCACUUACAGAUGGACCCGCGGCGCAUUANCUAGUUGGUGAGGUAAUGGCUCACCAAGGCAACGAUGCGUANCCGACCUGAGAGGGUGAUCG